rnacentral:lncRNA from 1 species
GGAAGUUAUCGGGUGGCAGCAGAGUUGGAAUGGGAUAGGUAGUUCCCCGUUUCCAGGACCCCAGACGGCCUGCUGGGACAGUGUAUAUGAGUCCGGAAUGGGCUGGACCAGGGUCAGGCUAGCCCAGACUUCAGGUUGCUGCAAAGGCCAUUAUUUUGUUCCUUUUUCUGGCUGAGUCAUAUUCCAUGGAGGAAGCACUCAAUUGAACAAGUGCAGGAACCAGCUGGCUGCCUCAGCACUGACAGAAGCAAAUUCCAUUUGCUUGGACCCACUGCAUUCCAUCCCUUGUGGAAGAGAGCAUGUAAGCAAGUGAGUGCAGGAACUGGCUGGCUGCUUUGGUGCUGGCAGGAGCAAACACCAUGAAGGCCCCAUGGCAGAGUCCAGGACAGGACCUUCAGGCCUCUGAAAAAAAAAGGAUCAAAGAACUGAAACUCACCAGAUCACCUCACCAGAUGCUGGACCCCUCAUUCACCAUGUUUGCUUCCUUGCCUCUCCCUAGUUCUUAUUUUCUUACACAUUGUUACAUUUCUUCCCUGCUAUAUCAACCCCUAGUUCUAGUCAGUCAUGGAGAUGGAUUUGAGACUGAUCUCCCAUCCCCUCAGCUACACCACCUGAUUAAAGCCUUCUUCCUUGGCAAUAA